rnacentral:lncRNA from 1 species
CCCAAACCCCAGCCUCUGGCAACCAACAUUCUACUCUCUACGUCUAUAAAUUUGACUUUUUAAGAUUCUGUAUAUAAGUGAAAUCAUGUGGUAUUUUUUUUGCCUGGCUAUUUCACGAUUAUUAUUUGUCAAUUAACAAUAACAUUUUAAAUAAAUCUUUUAAAAAACUAAACACUCCUCCCCAAAAAUAGACCAAGACGAUUAUUAAUUCACAAGUACACACAAAUGACAAUAGAAUAACUGAUGGUGUCAUGAAUAACUGAGACCAGAAGUAACAGAGAAGGGUUCAUAAAAGACACAGGUUUGAGUAGGCAUAAAGGAAAACCAUGAGUUUAACAAAUGGGGUAGACUAGAGGAUAUGUGGAACCUGCAGAUGCAGGGGGCUGACUUAAGAGACGAGGAUCCACAGACACUGACAUCCAUGGGUCUUAUUAGUGCUUUGUUCCUUCGGGUGUGGUCCUUGGGCCAGCAACAUCAGUAUCUAUAUCACCUGAGAGCUUGUUAAACAUUCAGAAAUUGACAGCCCGCGCAACAUCUACAGAAUCAGAAUCUACAUUUCUACAAGAUACUCUGGAAUUCAUACCUAAAUUUUGUGGUUUGAGAAGUCCUGUAGUGCAGGUGAGUAAAUCAUCCAUUCACAAUUUCUUAAAUCUAUCUGAUCAAAUAAACCUCUUCCCCAUGU